GCCUACGGGACGCAGCAGUGGGGGAUAUUGCACAAUGGGGGGAACCCUGAUGCAGCGACGCCGCGUGGGUGAAGAAGCGCCUCGGCGCGUAAAGCCCUGUCAGCAGGGAAGAAAAUGACGGUACCUGAAGAAGAAGCCCCGGCUAACUACGUGCCAGCAGCCGCGGUAAUACGUAGGGGGCAAGCGUUAUCCGGAUUUACUGGGUGUAAAGGGCGUGCAGCCGGGCUGACAAGUCAGAUGUGAAAUCCCGCGGCUCAACCGCGGAACUGCAUUUGAAACUGUUAGUCUUGAGUACCGGAGAGGUC
rnacentral:rRNA from 1 species